GGCCGAGGCCCCGCCCCCGGCGCACCCCCCCCUCCGGUCGCGCUUUACGGCUGUUUCACGGCGGUGUCGCGGCGGCCGCACCGGUGUCAGGCCGCCAUGGACUCUCGCUUCACUCGGGGGAAGUCUCCGGUGCUGGAGCGGGCGCUGGGCCGGCCGCGCUCGGAGCUGUCGCUCGCCGCCUUCGCGCUGCUCUUCUCGGAGCUGGUUCAGUACUGCCAGCGCCGCGUGGCCUCGGUGGCCGAGCUGCAGGCGCGGCUCGCCCGCCUGGGCCAGCACGUGGGGCUGCGGGCGCUGGACGCGCUGGUGGCCCGGGAGCGGCCGGGCCGGCGGGAGACCAAGGUGCUGGGCGUGCUGCUCUUCGUCAAGGGCCCGCUCUGGCGGGCGCUCUUCGGCCGCGAGGCCGACAAGCUGGAGCAGGCCAACGACGACGACCGCACGUUCUACGUGAUCGAGCGGGAGCCGGUGGUGAACACGUUCGUGUCGGUGCCGCGGGAGAACAGCUCCCUCAACUGCGCCGCCUUCGCCGCGGGGCUGCUGGAGGCCGUGCUGGGCGCCGCCGGCUUCCCCGCCCGCGUCAGCGCCCACUGGCACAAGGGAACCACGCUCAUGAUCAAAUUCGACGAGGCCGUCAUCGCCCGCGACAAGAGCCUGGAGGGGCGCUGAGCCGCGGGGACAGCGCCGGGAGCGGGGACGGUGUGGCCGUGUCACCUUUGUCACACGGGGACAGCGCCGGGAGCGGGGACAGUGUGGCCGUGGAGGGGACAGCGCCGGGAGGGAGGGGACAGCCUGGGGACAGCCUGGCCGUGUCACACGGGGCUGUGAGGGAGGGGACAGUCUGGGCAGGGACAGGAGCCUGGAGGGGCCUGAGCGACGGUGACAUCCGCCAUCGAACCGGGACAGACGUCACCACCCGCCGCAGGAGCUUCCUGGUGGCCUCGGCCACCUCGGGGGACAUCGGGGCUGCUCUUGUCCCCGAGGUGGCCCUUGGGGACACUCAUGUUACAAUAAACUGUCUCUUGUUCCUCCA